UACGUAGGGGGCGAGCGUUGUCCGGAUUUAUUGGGCGUAAAGAGCGCGUAGGCGGCCGGUCACGUCGGGUGUGAAAGCUCAGGGCUCAACCCUGAGACGCCAUUCGAUACGGAUCGGCUAGAGGCAGGUAGGGGAAAGUGGAAUUCCUGGUGUAGCGGUGAAAUGCGCAGAUAUCAGGAGGAACACCGGUGGCGAAGGCGGCUUUCUGGACGAUGACUGACGCUGAAGCGCGAAAGCGUGGGGAGCAAACAGG
rnacentral:rRNA from 1 species